UUUGUUGACAGCAGAGACAGAGCUCGUUCGCCAGCGACUGAAUAAGGACAAACGGGAGAAUCCUAUGAAAGUUUCUAUUUAGUUGCAAUGGGGUUGAGUUUGCACAUAUCCAGGAUACAAAAAUAAAAUGUCAAGUCGGAUAAAGUACAGUUUUCACCGGCUUCCUCUCGGCAAUUGGGAUAUUUUGAAGCUGUGGUUCACUAGGACAUUGAACAUCCCACGCUUACAACCAUCUUACAAUGCUUGGACCAUCGGGUGUGUAAUACCCCUUUCUCCGCAAAGGACUUUAAUUCCAGGAAAAGAUGGCAAGGGGUUUCAACAACAGCAUACAAGAAUGAUAUGCCGCUGACCGCUGAGGAGCAUACUAAAUAGAGCGUUGCAUCCACAGAUGGCUGUGCCUACUGUGCAUCAGCAGUAUUCAUCGAUGGGAGGAAGAUGGUCCUCAGUACACCUGCCAACAUCCACCCUUGACUGAUGAGGAGCAAGAGAGAACAGCGGAUAGCACCAGAUCCCCCUGCCACUGCUUCUCACAUUGCAUGAUCCGAGUGUGUGCUGGAAGUCUAUCACCACAGCAGGAAUCCUGGAGGAGUUUCAUUCAGUGAUGCUGAAAUAUUUUAUCAAGAGACUGCAUGAUUCCACGCCAGCGUGCACAGUUUGUAGCCCUGGAUAAUGAAAAUGUUGGCAGACAGACAACAGGCUACCACUGAAGGUGAACUCUGUUGGGCGAAACCGUAUUCAAGACAACACAGAGGUUGUGUUUCAAAGCCCAUCUACGAGAAAACCACACAUGCCUUCAGGAAG